AUUGAACGCUGGCGGCAGGCCUAACACAUGCAAGUCGAGCGAGAGGCGGGCGGGUGAGUAAUGUCUGGGAAACUGCCUGAUGGAGGGGGAUAACUACUGGAAACGGUAGCUAAUACCGCAUACAAUCAGAUGUGCCCAGAUGGGAUUAGCUAGUGGGGGGGGUAACGUCUCACCUAGGCGACGAUCCCUAGCUGGUCUGAGAGGAUGACCAGCCACACUGGAACUGAGACACGGUCCAGACGCCUACGGGAGGAAGCAGUGGGGAAUAUUGCACAAUGGGCGCAAUCCUGAGGCAGCGAUGCCGCGUGUAGGAAGAAGGCCUUCGGGUUGUAAAGGACUUUCAGCGGGGAGGCGUGACCCGCAGAAGAAGCACCGGCUAACUCCGUGCCAGCAGCGGCGGUAAUUC
rnacentral:rRNA from 1 species